CAAGUCGAACGAUGAAGCCCUUCGGGGUGGAUUAGUGGCGAACGGGUGAGUAACACGUGGGCAAUCUGCCCUGCACUCUGGGACAAGCCCUGGAAACGGGGUCUAAUACCGGAUACGAGCCUCCGAGGCAUCUUGGGGGUUGGAAAGCUCCGGCGGUGCAGGAUGAGCCCGCGGCCUAUCAGCUUGUUGGUGAGGUAAUGGCUCACCAAGGCGACGACGGGUAGCCGGCCUGAGAGGGCGACCGGCCACACUGGGACUGAGACACGGCCCAGACUCCUACGGGAGGCAGCAGUGGGGAAUAUUGCACAAUGGGCGCAAGCCUGAUGCAGCGACGCCGCGUGAGGGAUGACGGCCUUCGGGUUGUAAACCUCUUUCAGCAGGGAAGAAGCGUAAGUGACGGUACCUGCAGAAGAAGCGCCGGCUAACUACGUGCCAGCAGCCGCGGUAAUACGUAGGGCGCAAGCGUUGUCCGGAAUUAUUGGGCGUAAAGAGCUCGUAGGCGGCUUGUCGCGUCGGUUGUGAAAGCCCGGGGCUUAACUCCGGGUCUGCAGUCGAUACGGGCAGGCUAGAGUUCGGUAGGGGAGAUCGGAAUUCCUGGUGUAGCGGUGAAAUGCGCAGAUAUCAGGAGGAACACCGGUGGCGAAGGCGGAUCUCUGGGCCGAUACUGACGCUGAGGAGCGAAAGCGUGGGGAGCGAACAGGAUUAGAUACCCUGGUAGUCCACGCCGUAAACGGUGGGCACUAGGUGUGGGCAGCAUUCCNCGUUGUCCGUGCCGCAGCUNACGCAUUAAGUGCCCCGCCUGGGGAGUACGGNCGCAAGGCUAAAACUCAAANGAANUGACGGGGGCCCGCACNAGCGGCGGAGCAUGUGGNUUAAUUCGACGCAACNCGAAGAANCUUACCNNGGCUUGACAUACNCCGNAAACNUCCAGAGAUGGGUGCCCCCUUGNGGUCGGNGNACAGGNGGUGCAUGGCUGUCGUCAGCUC
rnacentral:rRNA from 1 species